rnacentral:tRNA from 1 species
GCUAAAGUGGCUCAGUGGCUAAGCAUCUGCUUGCCAUGCCGAAGGUCCUUGGUUCAAUUCCUGGCAUCUUCAGCU